rnacentral:hammerhead_ribozyme from 1 species
AUCAGGCUGACGAGUCCCAAAUAGGAAAAAACGCGCGUCUUUGAU